GACGAACGCUGGCGGCGUGCCUAAUACAUGCAAGUUGAGCGAUGAAGAUUGGUGCUUGCACCAAUUUGAAGAGCAGCGAACGGGUGAGUAACGCGUGGGGAAUCUGCCUUUGAGCGGGGGACAACAUUUGGAAACGAAUGCUAAUACCGCAUAAUAACUUUAAACAUAAGUUUUAAGUUUGAAAGAUGCAAUUGCAUCACUCAAAGAUGAUCCCGCGUUGUAUUAGCUAGUUGGUGAGGUAAAGGCUCACCAAGGCGAUGAUACAUAGCCGACCUGAGAGGGUGAUCGGCCACAUUGGGACUGAGACACGGCCCAAACUCCUACGGGAGGCAGCAGUAGGGAAUCUUCGGCAAUGGACGAAAGUCUGGCCGAGCAACGCCGCGUGAGUGAAGAAGAUUUUCGGAUCGUAAAACUCUGUUGGUAGAGAAGAACGUUGGUGAGAGUGGAAAGCUCAUCAAGUGACGGUAACUACCCAGAAAGGGACGGCUAACUACGUG
rnacentral:rRNA from 1 species